GGAGUUUUGUAAUCAUAGUUAGUUAAACCACUAAAAGUAUAACUAAUAUGAUGGGUCACAGUUUAAAUAUAAAUUAUGUAUUUAUGCCAUAAUUAUUGUUCUUGCUUACAUAUUUCACAUUAUUGUUGGUUAUGAAAAUUUUCACAUUUAUGAUUUAUGUGAUGCGUGUUUUGGCAUUGAUUAUUAUGUUUAGAUUUAUGAUUAAAUUAGUUGUGACAGUUAUUAUAUGCUAUGAUUGUUGUCCAAAGAUGUUUUAUAGUUAUAUAAUAAGUGUUAUUAGCAGAAUUGCAUUUUAGAAUCUGCAUCAUGAUUGUAGUU
rnacentral:lncRNA from 1 species